UCAAAUGAAUUGACGGGACCCGCACAAGCAGCGGAGCGCGUGGUUUAAUUCGUUGCUACACGAAGAACCUUACCUGGGUUUGACAUAUAGGUUGUAGGGAACUGAAAAGGGACCGACCCUUCGGGGAGCCUAUACAGGUGUUGCAUGGCUGUCGUCAGCUCGUGUCGUGAGAUGUUGGGUUAAGUCCCGCAACGAGCGCAACCCUUACCCUUAGUUGCCAGCGGGUAAUGCCGGGCACUCUAAGGGGACCGCCCCGGAUAACGGGGAGGAAGGCGGGGAUGACGUCAAGUCAGCAUGGCCUUUAUGUCCAGGGCUACACACGUGCUACAAUGGGCGAUACAGAGGGAAGCAAGGCCGCAAGGUAGAGCUAAUCCCUAAAGUCGUCCUCAGUUCGGAUUGCAGGCUGCAACUCGCCUGCAUGAAGUCGGAAUCGCUAGUAAUCGCGGAUCAGCUACGCCGCGGUGAAUACGUUCUCGGGCCUU
rnacentral:rRNA from 1 species